UUGCGAUGAUGACCUUUUUAGGACACCUUUAGAUGAACCAUGAAAAGAAGUAUUAGUCUGAGCGAU
ensembl:snoRNA SNORD58 Small nucleolar RNA SNORD58